AUUGAACGCUGGCGGCAGGCUUAACACAUGCAAGUCGAGCGGAGAGAGGUAGCUUGCUACUGAUCUUAGCGGCGGACGGGUGAGUAAUGCUUAGGAAUCUGCCUAUUAGUGGGGGACAACAUUUCGAAAGGAAUGCUAAUACCGCAUACGUCCUACGGGAGAAAGCAGGGGAUCUUCGGACCUUGCGCUAAUAGAUGAGCCUAAGUCGGAUUAGCUAGUUGGUGGGGUAAAGGCCUACCAAGGCGACGAUCUGUAGCGGGUCUGAGAGGAUGAUCCGCCACACUGGGACUGAGACACGGCCCAGAAUCCUACGGGAGGCAGCAGUGGGGAAUAUUGGACAAUGGGCGCAAGCCUGAUCCAGCCAUGCCGCGUGUGUGAAGAAGGCCUUACGGUUGUAAAGCACUUUAAGCGAGGAGGAGGCUACUUUAGUUAAUACCUAGAGAUAGUGGACGUUACUCGCAGAAUAAGCACCGGCUAACUCUGUGCCAGCCGCCGCAGUAA
rnacentral:rRNA from 1 species